rnacentral:rRNA from 1 species
GCGGAGGAAAAGAAACCAAAUGGGACCCCCUGAGUAAUGGCGAAUGAAAUGGGGUUAGCUCAUUGCAAAGGUAUAUCAAGAUGAGAGCUUGAUAUACAGUGCUGCAUUCAUACAGUGUGAUUCAUGUUGCCUAAGACACAGCUACAUAUUCCUUUGAAUGGGGUUUAUUACCCAUAGACGGUGCUAGGCCGUUAGUUGCAUGUGUUGUUAAGCACAAUCUCCUGUAUAUUAGAGUCAGGUUGCUUGAGAGUGCAACCUAAAAUUGCAGGUAAACUCCUGCAAAAGCUAAAUAUUUUGAUGAUACCGAUAGUAAACAAGUACCGUGAGGGAAAGUUGCAAAGAACUUUGAAGAGAGAGUUCAAAAGGACGUGAAACCACUUGCAAGUAAACAGAUGGAACCACGAAGUGUAGCUGAGAAGAGAAUUCAUUUUUACUUAAGGUACAAUUGUAUUGGAGAGUAGUUUGUAUACUUGUCGUGCUACUUGUUGGCAUUGCAUAAGUAUAGCAUUAGCUCUCUGUACAAAUAAAUGUUGCUCUUAUAGUAAAUGCAUUUUCACACUUCUCAUGCUCGAGCCUUGUACAAUAGGUUAAUAUGGAGAAGGAAAAUAUUGCAUACGCGCAUACCAUAUACAUGUCCUAUGUAUUCAGUAGUAUAAGGUCGCUUUAUGCUAAUAGAUUUUUUCUAUUUAGUUAUAAAUGCGCAUAUUGUACUGUCUGUGUUGUAUUAUGUGAGUGUGUUGAUUAUUAUUGUCUAUUUGUUAUUGUGUUUUUAUAACCUACCAAAAAAAUAAUGAUAAUCAUCAUAAACACACUUUAUAUAAUGCAAGUGAAAAAUAUUUUCCUGCCUAUUGUUUAUGAAAGUUUCUCUAAGGAGAAUGAUAAGCGAAUGAUGAUUAAUGGUAGAAUAUCUGUGUGCCAUAUUUGGCUAUCAAUGUAUAUGAUUAUAAUUAUAAUAAUAAUUAUAAUUGUUACUUUCUCAUUCAUUAUUUAGAAGAAUGAGAGUAACAGAUUGGUAGAGAAAAUUAUUAAAAAACCAAAUAUGCAUUAAAGAUAUUUUUUGUUGUUGCUUUUACACAACAAUAAGAACAACAACAACUCUAACUACCUGUAUACAUACAAUGUAUAUAUAGCGCACGACAAAAUGUAGCUAAGCACACACUUAUUGUUGAUGAGUGUGUAUUUGUUGUUAUAUUUGUUUGCGUGGUGUAUGCAUUUGUUUGAAAUCUAAGGCCAGUAGAUCGGUAAUCCAUCUGACCCGUCUUGAAACACGGACCAAGGAGUCUAACAUGUACGCAAGCAUAAAAGUCUUGCAUAGGCUUACUUGAAAUUAAAUUUGUUGUUGUUUUUAAAGACAAACAUUUUUAAUAUGUUUUGUAUGCACAAUGAAAGUAAAAAUAAAAUACUCUACUUAUAUUAUUUUAGUGUAAGUAGAGUGUGUAUGUAAGUGAUCAAAUAUGAAUAUGAAUUGUGUGUAUGAGUAUUAUUACUUGUAUAUAUUCUAUAUUGUAUUUAUAUUUGAUAAAAAAAUAGUAUUAUGAUAUUAAUGGCGGUACUGGCUACUGCAGAAGUGUGGUGACGUUUAAUAGUAGGAUGAUUUUUAGGAAUCAUGGUGCUUUUAGAUGCACUGCAACGCAUCCGCAGUUGUUAGAUCGCUAUUAAAAUUAUAUCACUAUUGGCCCGUAGUUGAAAGCAUAGCUUUUCUACGGAGUCUGAGUGUACAUGUUGGUACCCGAAAGAUGGUGAACUAUGCUUGGGACAGAUGAAGCCAGAGGAAACUCUGGUGGAGGUCUGUAGCGAUUCUGACGUGCAAAUCGAUCGUCAGACCCGAGUAUAGGGGCGAAAGACUAAUCGAACCAUCUAGUAGCUGGUUUACUCUGAAGUUUCCCUCAGGAUAGCUGGCACAUGUAAAAUAGUUUGGUUUGUUAUUUUUCUUUGAUCUUGAACCUAACCUAACAAGAAAAAGAAGAAGAAUAAUAAUAAUAAGAAGUGGCAGCAGCAGCAGCUGGUGCUGCAGAACAUAACCAAAUUAUUAAAGCAGUAGAAUCCGAUAGAGCGAAUGAUUAGAGGUAUUGGGAUCGAAACGAUCUCAACCUAUUCUCAAACUCCGAAUGGGUUCGUUGUAUAUUAACUUAUUGCGCUUAAAGUUAUUAAAGUAUGCAUUGUGCCUAGUGGGCCAUUUUUGGUAAGCAGAACUGGCGAUGUGGGAUGAACCAUACGUAGGGUUAAGGCGCCCUAUGCAGACGCUCAUGAGAGACCAUGAAAGGUGUUAGUUGCUAAAGACAGCAGGACGGUGGCCAUGGAAGUUGGAAUCCGCUAAGGAGUGUGUAACAACUCACCUGCCGAAGCAACUAGCCCUGAAAAUGGAUGGCGCUGAAGCGUUGAGCCUAUACCCUACCGUAAAUACAAUUUUCAUAAGAACAGAAGUAUUUACGAGUAAGAGUAACGCAGUGAUUGCAUAGAAGGGUUAAAGACUUGCGUCUACCUGGAGCAAUUACUGUUG